CAGCCGCCACGGGAAUACGUAGGGUGCAAGCGUUAAUCGGAAUUACUGGGCGUAAAGCGUGCGUAGGUGGUGGUUUAAGUCCGUUGUGAAAGCCCUGGGCUCAACCUGGGAAUUGCAGUGGAUACUGGGUCACUAGAGUGUGGUAGAGGAUAGUGGAAUUUCCGGUGUAGCAGAGAAAUGCGUGGAGAUCAAGAGGAACACUCGUGGCGAAAGCGAGCUACUGGACAAUAACUGACGCUGAGGCUCGAAGGCCAGGGUAGCGAAAGGGAUUAGAUACCCCUGUAGUCCCUGUCUCUUAUAC
rnacentral:rRNA from 1 species